rnacentral:rRNA from 1 species
UGCAAGUCGAGCGAACGGACGAGAAGCUUGCUUCUCUGAUGUUAGCGGCGGACGGGUGAGUAACACGUGGAUAACCUACCUAUAAGACUGGGAUAACUUCGGGAAACCGGAGCUAAUACCGGAUAAUAUUUUGAACCGCAUGGUUCAAAAGUGAAAGACGGUCUUGCUGUCACUUAUAGAUGGAUCCGCGCUGCAUUAGCUAGUUGGUAAGGUAACGGCUUACCAAGGCAACGAUGCAUAGCCGACCUGAGAGGGUGAUCGGCCACACUGGAACUGAGACACGGUCCAGACUCCUACGGGAGGCAGCAGUAGGGAAUCUUCCGCAAUGGGCGAAAGCCUGACGGAGCAACGCCGCGUGAGUGAUGAAGGUCUUCGGAUCGUAAAACUCUGUUAUUAGGGAAGAACAUAUGUGUAAGUAACUGUGCACAUCUUGACGGUACCUAAUCAGAAAGCCACGGCUAACUACGUGCCAGCAGCCGCGGUAAUACGUAGGUGGCAAGCGUUAUCCGGAAUUAUUGGGCGUAAAGCGCGCGUAGGC